rnacentral:rRNA from 1 species
CAUGCAGUCGAGCGGUAGCACAGGAGAGCUUGCUCUCUGGGUGACGAGCGGCGGACGGGUGAGUAAUGUCUGGGAAACUGCCUGAUGGAGGGGGAUAACUACUGGAAACGGUAGCUAAUACCGCAUAACGUCUUCGGACCAAAGUGGGGGACCUUCGGGCCUCACGCCAUCAGAUGUGCCCAGAUGGGAUUAGCUAGUAGGUGGGGUAAUGGCUCACCUAGGCGACGAUCCCUAGCUGGUCUGAGAGGAUGACCAGCCACACUGGAACUGAGACACGGUCCAGACUCCUACGGGAGGCAGCAGUGGGGAAUAUUGCACAAUGGGCGCAAGCCUGAUGCAGCCAUGCCGCGUGUGUGAAGAAGGCCUUCGGGUUGUAAAGCACUUUCAGCGAGGAGGAAGGGUUCAGUGUUAAUAGCACUGURCAUUGACGUUWCUCGCAGAAGAAGCACCGGCUAACUCCGUGCCAGCAGCCGCGGUAAUACGGAGGGUGCAAGCGUUAAUCGGAAUUACUGGGCGUAAAGCGCACGCAGGCGKUUUGUUAAGUCAGAUGUGAAAUCCCCGCGCUUAACGUGGGAAYUGCAUUUGAAACUGGCAAGCUAGAGUCUUGUAGAGGGGGGUAGAAGUCCAGGUGUAACGGUGAAAUGCGUAGAGAUCUGGAGGAAUACCGGUGGCGAAUGCGGCCCCCUGGAG